rnacentral:lncRNA from 1 species
AUGCAACAAGUGCAUCUACAUGCAGCCAUAAACCAGUGGCUAAAGGCAGCCAUCAGCAGCUGUUUGCAGCAAGUACGUCCACGUGCAGCCAUGAUUCAGUGGCCAGAGUUAGUCAUCAGCAACAGCCUUCUAAUAUUGAACAAAAACCGUGCUCAUUAUGUGGAUGUAAAGGAUUGUGCAGUGCUUAUAGAGCGUUGACCAUUGAUGAGACCACCCAUCAGCCUUCUCUUCAGGUAAUUAAGAUCAGGCAUUUUUUUACCCCGAAAUAACACAAAUAGGAAACAAUUCUAUUCGCUCUGUCAAGAAAGUUUUAAUUAUGAAACUACGAUUUGAAGCAAACUAAUGUCCACUUAUGUGAUUUAAAUUUGAUGAAAAAUUGACCAUGUGGGAGGUGUUAUCAAAAGUUUUGGAGCGACUAGAUGACCAUGAUCUAUUAUGAAAGGAAACUUAUCAGAAAAUUAUAGCAGAUUUAGAUAGUACCCAAGCACAUUUUACUUUACUCUGUCAUUCUAAUGUAAAGGAUCAGCAGCUUCUGUUGAUUUUCAUGAUAUCCAUUUUAAAGUGUCCAUCCUAAAAAAUUACCUCAAAUUUCUGAUAGAAGUUCAAAAGCUGACAGUUUGAAUGGUGAGAAUACUUCGCUAAUCCUCGCUCAGAAAAUCUGCGUUUUUUUUCACAUGGUGCUCUAGACACGGUACAAACUAUAGCACUAUGUCACCUAAUUCGUUUUCAAAAUUUUCCAUCAAAAUUGAUUUACACAAACAUACAUACAUUUUUUUAGUUCUACAAAUAACUCCGAAAGAAGGUGCAAGUUCUCAUAAAUAAGUAAUCAAAAUAUUUCUCAAAUAUCAAAAAUACAAAUCAUGUCAUUUGUAUGAUAAUGUCUCAUUUGAUCAGUGUUUCAUGCUCAUGUUAAAAUCUCGCUUCGAAAUUGAUUUCUGACUCUUUGUCGGAUGAAAUCCUUGCUAUGCACAAUAAUUUUUAGCAGGAGCAUACAGCUUGGUAAGUUCUUUAAUAUAUUCACUCAAUACUUGUUGAGCAGCUCAUUGAAGACACUGUUAAUUGCUGAAGAGUUUGCAAGCAGAUAUCAAAUGAGGUAGAGGAAUGAAAAGUUGAAGGAUAUUAACAUACAACUAUGAUCAUUUAACACAAUUAUUGAUUAAAACAUCAAACUACAAGCCAACAUAAAUAAAUAAAUAGAUAACUAAAUAGAUAAAUAGAUAAUAAUAUAAAAUUUCAAACUACAUGAAGAGGAGAAGAAAUUGAAUUUUUUGUAUGUUUAUUUUUCUCUCAUGUACAUGUAAUUUGAACUUUCAUCAUUAUAUUAUUUAUUUAUUUUGGCUUGUAGCUCGAUUUUUAAUCAGUAAUCAUGUUUUAUACACAGCUUAGCUAGCCAAAUUUGGCAAUAAAAUUUAAUGAUCAUUUACUUAGUUAUAGAUGCAACCAGUAGGUACACUACCUGACUGCCUCGUGCUUCAGGUGUUAUGAAUUACAAAUAAUUCUUAUGAUUUUAUAUAAGUGCAAAACAUAUGCAUACACUUUAGUAAUUGCAAGAUUGAAUGUUGAGCAAAUAUUCUUAAAAAAAUUCGGAAAAGCAAGAAUUUUUUGAUAAAAAGUGACUCAUGAAAGGACAUUUAAAAAGUGAAAUUAAACCCUUUUUUUUUAUUUAAAAUUUUAGCCUGAAGAAGUUACUGUACAGCCACCAGUUCCCUCCACUUCAUCAGCAAAACUAGGGAAGAGAAAGAGAGCGAAGAAAGUUUUUGGUGAUUUUGUCCCUUUCUCCCAAAGUAAUCUUCCAUCCUCGACAACCACAAAAGAGAAAAUCCAUCUCACCAUUCCCAAGAGUCCAAGGAAUACAUAGAUGCAUUUGAAAAUU